GGUGAAUACGUUCCCGGGCCUUGUACACACCGCCCGUCACACCAUGGGAGUUGGUUUUACCCGAAGGCGCUGUGCUAACCGCAAGGAGGCAGGCGACCACGGUAGGGUCAGCGACUGGGGUGAAGUCGUAACAAGGUAGCCGUAGGGGAACCUGCGGCUGGAUCACCUCCUU
rnacentral:rRNA from 1 species